CAAAUGCGAUAAGCAAUGCGAAUUGCAGAAUUCCGCGAGUCAUCAGAUCUUUGAACGCAAGUGGCGCUGGGAUAACCAAUACCCCAGCAUGUUUGUUUCAGUGUGUUAGGAAUCAUAAAUCAUAAUGCGAUUGAGUAUUUAUUUAAUACAUUCUCUCUCGUUAAACAUGAAAGCGCUGAAUUCGUUUCAGUGCCAACCGAAGUAGUCACUUCUUUUCUUUAGAAAGUGAUCGCGGUUGUGCUAUAACUGAAGAUUUCACUUAAAGCGUCUAUAUUUUAUACAUAAUUUCUACCAUCAACACCUGAAAUCAAGCAAGAUCACCCGCUGAACUUAA
rnacentral:misc_RNA from 1 species